rnacentral:rRNA from 1 species
UACGGGGGGGGUAAGCGUUGUUCGGAAUUACUGGGCGUAAAGGGCUCGUAGGCGGCCAACUAAGUCAUACGUGAAAUCCCUCAGCUUAACUGGGGAACUGCGUGUGAUACUGGACGGCUUGGAUUUGGGAGAGGGAUGCGGAAUUCCAGGUGUAGCGGUGAAAUGCGUAGAUAUCUGGAGGAACACCGGUGGCGAAGGCGGCAUCCUGGACCAAUAUUGACGCUGAGGCACGAAAGCGUGGGGAGCAAACAGG